rnacentral:rRNA from 1 species
GAUGAACGCUGACAGAAUGCUUAACACAUGCAAGUCAACUUGAACUUCGGUUUGGGUGGCGGACGGGUGAGUAACGCGUAAAGAACUUGCCUCACAGAUAGGGACAACAUUUGGAAACGAAUGCUAAUACCUGAUAUUAUGAUUUUAGGGCAUCCUAGGAUUAUGAAAGCUAUAUGCGCUGUGAGAGAGCUUUGCGUCCCAUUAGCUAGUUGGAGAGGUAACGGCUCACCAAGGCGAUGAUGGGUAGCCGGCCUGAGAGGGUGAUCGGCCACAAGGGGACUGAGACACGGCCCUUACUCCCUCCGGAGGCAAGAGUGGGGAAUAAUGGGCAAAGGACCAAGGAUCUGAUCCAGCAAUUCUGUGUGGACGAUGAAGUUUUUCGGAAUGUAAAGUUCUUUCAGUUGGGGAGAAAAAAAUGACGGUACCAACAGAAGAAGUGACGGCUAAAUACGUG